rnacentral:misc_RNA from 1 species
AAGUCGUAACAAGGUUUCCGUAGGUGAACCUGCGGAAGGAUCAUUAUCACGUAUCCACGUACUAACCCCUGUGAACUGUUCCCUCUUGAAUGUGAGGCGGUGUUGACAUUAUUCAUUUCUUUCGUGAUUUAAGGACGUAGUCUUCACCCGGUGUUAGAACCGACCUCCCAUUCUUGAGCGUAUUCCUAAACCACGAUAUUUAAACUAUUAACAACUUGUACUAUUUGAACUGAUUUGUUUCUCGUCUUCUCCGCAAGGAAAAGCUGGAAAUAUUUUACGAAACGCAAAACAACUCUUAGCAACGGAUAUCUUGGUUCCCAUAACGAUGAAGAACGCAGC